UAUACUAUGAGUGGGCGUUGUUUGUAUUAGUAAGUGGAGCCAUAGAUAUUAGAGUAAAAACACUUGCUGAGCUCAACGAACACUACAGUAAAAAAACAUGGCAGAAGUCCUAUAUGCACCUAAAUAAUUGAGAUGGUUCUUGCUUGUGGCUCCAG